GACAGAGGGUGCAAACGUUGUUCGGAUUUACUUGGCGUAAAGCGCGUGUAGGCGGCUUUGCAAGUCGGAUGUGAAAGCCCACGGCUCAACCGUGGAAGUGCAUCCGAAACUGCAUGGCUCGAGUCUCGGAGAGGAAGGUGGAAUGCUUGGUGUAGAGGUGAAAUUCGUAGAUAUCAAGCAGAACACCUGCGGCGAAGGCGGCCCCCUGGGCUAAGACUGACGCUGAGGCACGAAAGCGUGGGGAGCAAACAGG
rnacentral:rRNA from 1 species